GUGGAAACAUUGGUUCUCAUCUGAUCACCAAAGUUAAGCAACAUUGAGCCUGGUCGUUACCUAGAUAGGUGACCACUUGGGAAUGC